CGCGGUUAUACCAAGUGAUUAAGUUAUAUUUCUAGGUAAAAAGAUAGUUAGGUUUAUAAGAAGAUUUUAGUUUAUUAAACAUCUAUAGAAAAGUAAAAUUUGCAUAUAGAUAGCCAAUCUAAUAAUAACUAUUUAAUACUGAAGCUAUGAUAGUCUUGAGGGAAACUGGGAUUAGAUACCCCAUUAUUCUUGAUUGUAAAUAUAAUUAAAUUUACCAGAGUACUAUGAAUAGUUAAAAAUUUAAAACUCAAAGGGCUUGGCGGUGCUUUAGACCUAUCAGGGGAACCUGUCUCGUAAUCGACAAUCCACGUAAUAUCUAACCUUAUUUUGUAAACAGUUUGUAUACCGUCGUCGUCAGGUAACUUUUAAAAAUACAGAAGUUAGCAAUUAAAAUUUUUGAAUUAAAACGUCAGAUCAAGGUGCAGCCUAUAAUGAGGAGAGGAUGGGUUACAAUUAUAAUAUUUAUAAUCACGGAAAUUUAAAUGGAACUUAUUUUGAAGGAGGACUUGAAAGUAAACUAGAAUACAUAAAUAGUUUGAAUAAGGCUCUG
rnacentral:rRNA from 1 species